CCUACGGGAGGCAGCAGUGGGGAAUAUUGGACAAUGGGCGAAAGCCUGAUCCAGCCAUGCCGCGUGUGUGAAGAAGGUCUUCGGAUUGUAAAGCACUUUAAGUUGGGAGGAAGGGUUGUAGAUUAAUACUCUGCAAUUUUGACGUUACCGACAGAAUAAGCACCGGCUAACUCUGUGCCAGCAGCCGCGGUAAUACAGAGGGUGCAAGCGUUAAUCGGAAUUACUGGGCGUAAAGCGCGCGUAGGUGGUUUGUUAAGUUGGAUGUGAAAGCCCCGGGCUCAACCUGGGAACUGCAUCCAAAACUGGCAAGCUAGAGUACGGUAGAGGGUGGUGGAAUUUCCUGUGUAGCGGUGAAAUGCGUAGAUAUAGGAAGGAACACCAGUGGCGAAGGCGACCACCUGGACUGAUACUGACACUGAGGUGCGAAAGCGUGGGGAGCAAACAGGAUUAGAUACCCCGGUAGUC
rnacentral:rRNA from 1 species